rnacentral:lncRNA from 7 species
GGGGAACAAAAAUCUCUACACAGUAACUUCAUCCUCAUUUGAUCUUGCUCUAUUUCAGUGCAUCUUGGGAACACAAUCAGCACCACAGUGAUAACCAGGGGACAGGCUGGAGCAUGGUGUACCGUGAGCUAACAGGGAAGUUGUUGAUGGCACCAUGCUGGCAUGUUCAUGCUAGAAACAUGGUCUUCUUCCAGUUUUUAACAUUAGCCAAAUAAGCUACUUAGUAAAUAAUAGAAAAAUGGGAACAACCAAGAAUGGAGAUGAUGCUUUAAUUACCGAAAAACAGAAUAAUGGGACAGUGCUCUUCCUUCAUAUCUUCACGAUGGGCUGAGUCCAAUUUUUUGUUUCCAUUUGUGGUGCUAGCCCAAACAGGAAAACCUGACAUUUGUGUACUCUGUAAAAAAAGUUAGGCUUAUUUUAUAACUUAGGACCAACUCUUGUAGUAGGCUUGUCAUCCUCUGGUUACUGAAAAAAUAAACUGUAACAUCAGAGUCAGAAUCUGCAAGGAAUUUUAACGAAUUAACGAGCUACUUGAUCGAUAACUCAGCAUUAAUGGUGAUAGAUACUCAUUUGCUCCACUGUACUGUACCACUGGAUGAAGAUGAGCCACUUCCUAAUCCGCUUGAGCUUCUAGCCGGGGAAUCCCUCUCAAUCUCCACUGACUGGUAAUUCACAUAUUCUUUUGCAACUACACAAUAGACUACAACAUGUUCAAAGAGCAAAGGUGUCACCAUGAAUAUACAUAUUAUCAUCAUCAUGUGAUAUAUAUCAGUUAAGUUGUAGGCUUGUAACCAGAUCUUCAAGACCCACAACAAUGCAUAGUUCAGGAUUGAAACGAUAACACAUGACAAAGGAGUUUAGACUCUUGGUUGAUAACCAAGAUUGAUGUUGAGUUGUUCUCCUUUCAGACAAAUCCUCACAAAAAUGAUGUUAUUGUUACUAUAACAUUACGAGACUACGACUCAGAGCAUUUUCAGACCCAAACAACAUGAUCAUGAGAAAGACCUACCAAAGCCAAUAGCGCCGCCUCACUCAGGAAAGUCAGAAAAUCGCUACACGAGGUGUACCUUGACAAGGAGUUUGAGGUUCAGUAUUUCGAACUCAAUAGUGGACCGUUGCAAACAUUUUAAAAACACCAAGUGGAUGUGAGUGUAAUCAUAUAAAUUAUACUUAGCUAUGCCUCAAACUGAUCCAUGAAACUAAACAUAAAGUUCAUAAAAUACAAUUUUCAAUUUAGUUCCCUACUUGGAAAGAUCUGCUUUAUCGAAUACAUGCUUUAUCACAUAUACCCACCCUACUAUAAAAGAGAAAUAUGAAUAAACGCAAUACAUUGCUAGCAUGGAUAACAUGAAGAUCAGCUAUGAGUUCAACCU